rnacentral:ncRNA from 1 species
GAAACUCUGCCGCCGGGUAGAAUAUGCAUUAAGUCCCCCAUCGAUAGGCCUUAGCAGAUGGGAAUAAUGGCUUAAUGCUUUU